CACAUGCAAGUCGAGGGGCAGCAUAAAAGUAGCAAUACGUUGGUGGCGACCGGCGCACGGGUGAGUAACGCGUAUGCAACCUACCUAUCAGAGGGGAAUAACCCGGCGAAAGUCGGACUAAUACCGCAUAAAACAGGGGCACCGCAUGGUGAUAUUUGUUAAAGAAAUUCGCUGAUAGAUGGGCAUGCGUUCCAUUAGGUAGUUGGUGAGGUAACGGCUCACCAAGCCGACGAUGGAUAGGGGAACUGAGAGGUUGGUCCCCCACACUGGUACUGAGACACGGACCAGACUCCUACGGGAGGCAGCAGUGAGGAAUAUUGGUCAAUGGGCGGGAGCCUGAACCAGCCAAGUCCGCGUGAAGGAAGAAGGAUCUAUGGUUCGUAAACUUCUUUUGCAGGGGAAUAAAGUGCAGGACGUGUCCUGUUUUGUAUGUACCCUGAGAAUAAGGAUCGGCUAACUCCGUGCCAGCCGCCGC
rnacentral:rRNA from 1 species